rnacentral:rRNA from 1 species
CGACGUAUCGGAUUACUGGGCGUAAGCGUGCGCAGGCGGUUCGUUAAGACAGAUGUGAAAUCCCCGGGCUUAACCUGGGAACUGCAUUUGUGACUGGCGAGCUAGAGUAUGGCAGAGGGGGGUAGAAUUCCACGUGUAGCAGUGAAAUGCGUAGAGAUGUGGAGGAAUACCGAUGGCGAAGGCAGCCCCCUGGGCCAAUACUGACGCUCAUGCACGAAAGCGUGGGGAGCAAACAGGAUUAGAUACCCUGGUAGUCCACGCCCUAAACGAUGUCAACUAGUUGUUGGGUCUUCAUUGACUUAGUAACGUAGCUAACGCGUGAAGUUGACCGCCUGGGGAGUACGGUCGCAAGAUUAAAACUCAAAGGAAUUGACGGAACACUAUUCACUGUCACACCUGACCAUUCGCCCCGUUCUGAAAAGGCCCGAGCCAUGGCUUUUCUCGCUCGUGCCUUUUCGCAACUUCACGAUCGUUCCGGCCACCACUCGCAACAUUGCGGCGAGGGUCCAUGUUUUCUUGGUAGCCCGGCUCGGUUGACUUCGGCAUGCCAGCACCGGGCGUGACCAUAUCAAGGGUGAUGUUUGGCAAACGAUCCGGUUCCAAAACGCGGUUUCUAUUACCUCCAUGGUUUUUUACAGCCAUCGCGCCGUCCCAGGGCAACCGCGGGGGGCAAGCUAGCACCGUACAACUGGUUUGGUGGAAUCAUGUCUCUCGUCUAUGAGCUUGGCCAUUGACCUGCGACGAACCCGAAAAGUGGUCGCCAGCGCAUCUGGCCUGGCCAUCUACGCCGUAUGGCAAAGGACUUCUACCGCCAAGGCCACAAAUAAUCGCCUCUUAGCUGCUUGCUCGGGUUGACCUCGACAAGGCCUGUUGUGCUAGGCCAAAACUCAUCUGAUACCAUGCCAUUUAGCUGCCUGAAUACUCGUUCCAUACUCUCUCUGGGUGGCGCUUUCGUGUUGGACACAAACUUU